rnacentral:rRNA from 1 species
AGUGAACGCUGGCGGUAGGCCUAACACAUGCAAGUCGAACGGCAGCACAGUAAGAGCUUGCUCUUACGGGUGGCGAGUGGCGGACGGGUGAGGAAUACAUCGGAAUCUACUUUUUCGUGGGGGAUAACGUAGGGAAACUUACGCUAAUACCGCAUACGACCUACGGGUGAAAGCAGGGGAUCUUCGGACCUUGCGCGAUUGAAUGAGCCGAUGUCGGAUUAGCUAGUUGGCGGGGUAAAGGCCCACCAAGGCGACGAUCCGUAGCUGGUCUGAGAGGAUGAUCAGCCACACUGGAACUGAGACACGGUCCAGACUCCUACGGGAGGCAGCAGUGGGAAAUAUUGGACAAUGGGCGAAAGCCUGAUCCAGCCAUACCGCGUGGGUGAAGAAGGCCUUCGGGUUGUAAAGCCCUUUUGUUGGGAAAGAAAAGCAGCAGGUUAAUACCCCGCUGUUCUGACGGUACCCAAAGAAUAAGCACCGGCUAACUUCGU